UAAUACACCUUUCGGAGCUAAUAUCAAAAACAAACAAAAAAAAUCUAAAUUUUCGGUCAACAUUUUUGUGAUAAGUUUGAAUUUAGUUUUAAGCAUAAAGUGAAUUUUGUAAGUGGGAUCAAAACGUAUCAAUCGUAAAACUUAACCGUCGUCAAUCUGUUGCUAAGGUUAUGUCAAACAGCCUCGUCAUCAUCUAAACAAUUAACGCAAACUGAUCAAACGCAUACACAGUCAAGCCACCACAAGAAAUGCCUACACGGAUGUUCAAAACAUUAGAGCCUAAUGAUUGUCAUCAUCUAACUAAAUAGGAAAUACUGCUGUCAAAAAUAUAGUUAAACUGUUGCUUGCCAUUGUUUCUAUAUUGGUCACUACGAAAAAUACUAAAUGGAUGUUCACAACGUUAAGUAAAUUCCGCACAAGCCGGUCAAACAUAAAAAAACUGGAAAACAAAGCUUUUCAAAAUUAUUCGUACGCUAAAGAAGCCAAAAUCGCAAACAAAUCCAUAAAAUAUCGAUAAAAAUUGAAUUUAAAGGUGAAGCAAAAGUCAUCACUAAACCAAUUCUUUGAAUUCGGGAAUGUAAGGAAGUCAAACUACCGAGCUGUGCACCACCACAAUCUACUAAGCACUAUAUUGGAUCUUGUCCCUGCUCUUUGUGUCCGGCACUAUUAUUGUCUACUUUAUGGCCAUCUAUUUGUGGAGACACUAUCUAACAAAAAUACACUUGCAUAGAAGCAAA